rnacentral:rRNA from 1 species
GGCGAGUGGCGAACGGGUGAGUAAUAUAUCGGAACGUGCCCAGUCGUGGGGGAUAACGUAGCGAAAGCUACGCUAAUACCGCAUACGAUCUACGGAUGAAAGCGGGGGACUCGUAAGAGCCUCGCGCGAUUGGAGCGGCCGAUAUCAGAUUAGGUUGUUGGUGAGGUAAAAGCUCACCAAGCCUGCGAUCUGUAGCUGGUCUGAGAGGACGACCAGCCACACUGGAACUGAGACACGGUCCAGACUCCUACGGGAGGCAGCAGUGGGGAAUUUUGGACAAUGGACGAAAGUCUGAUCCAGCAAUGCCGCGUGCAGGACGAAGGCCUUCGGGUUGUAAACUGCUUUUGUACGGAACGAAACGGUCUGCUUUAAUACAGUGGGCUAAUGACGGUACCGUAAGAAUAAGCACCGGCUAACUACGUGCCAGCAGCCGCGGUAAUACGUAGGGUGCGAGCGUUAAUCGGAAUUACUGGGCGUAAAGCGCGCGUAGGCGGCUUUGUAAGUUAGAGGUGAAAGCCCGGAGCUCAACUCCGGAACUGCCUUUAAGA